AGUUAUUCUUGCUGUUGUCUCAUC
rnacentral:miRNA from 15 species